UUGCUUCAGCAGCACGUACACUAAAAUUGGAAUGAUACCGAGAAGAUUAGCAGGCUAAAUGACAUGCAGGGUUCUGGGAAGGGAAAAUGCAUUAU